UUUUUUAUGGCCGAGUAGGCAGUAGAUUUUUAAUUUACCCACGGGAUACCCUAUGCGAU
rnacentral:tRNA from 1 species